GCCUCAUCAGUUGUAAUUGCAACGUCCACAUUCCGUAUACGAAUCUGUGUUUCCUCCCUUGCAGCAUCCGAUUCUUUAUUGGCAUCAACUUUUACCAAGUAGCAGGGAGGGAUUUGGGCUUUAGAGGGAGGGCUUCGAGUUUCUAGUAGGCCUAGUUUUCCUUCAGUCAUAGAUUCCCAAUGAGAAAAAAACCAAAACAAUCAUAUGGGAAACAAAAAGUCUACUUACAACCAACUGGGGAAAUCUUGUGUCACCGUGUUCUACGUGGCACAUUUCAAAACGGCGUUGUUCCCGUUUUAAUUCAAACGAGACUACAUCCCCCUCCAUCCCGGUUGAGACCCUCUUCCCCAUUCCCCAUUUCCAUCGUCUUCCCAAGGAAGACUUAGCUCCGACGAAGCUAGUGAUUCAUCGUGACAAAUUUCUACACGAAUCCAAUCGGUAUUCGUCUUAUCCACGAAGCCAGUGGCUCCUCGUCUUCUUCACGAAACCAGUGGCCCCUCAUCUUCUCCUCGAACCUAAGAGACACGAACCCACAAACCCACGUUUCAGCCUCGUACUGAAGAGCCAAGAACGCACAAACCCACGAACCAACCUCUAACCCAAGAGCCAUGAACCCUAUUUGAACCCACAAACCCAUGAACCCCUUUUGUCUUCUCCACCUAGAUCUGAAAUCUUGUGAGCUAAGAGCACCGAAACCAUAACCCUUAAAAAUUUGGCACAAUCAUCAAUCAGGCCAAGUUUCAAAUCAGACCAUUUUGCAAGUUUUUCCAGUGGGCAGAAAGUAAUCAAGUGACUGAGCUCUAACUUCAAGAAAGAAUCAAUGACCUGUUACGGAAGGAUAAAGAUCUCGAGAAGAUAGUCAAGAUUCUCAAAAAGAGGAAGAUUGAGCUGCGUAAGAUAGUGGAUUAGUUCGAGAAUGAGUUGGUUUAUCACACACAAGAAGCUGAAAUAAGGCGUUUACGCACACUACUUCGAAUGUAUUGUGGUUUUGCAUUAGUAGUACUAUGUUUUUGUAUUGGACUUUGGCUCUUAUAUUAGGGGAGAGGGAUCAAACCCUUGGAAUGUUGUCAUUAAAAGAUGGCAUUAGUGUUGUGCCAUCAGGUUGGCAUUGGGAUUGUCUGUCCUCCUUGGAGUGUCGGUUUGAUGUGGAGUUAAUAUACGUAGAUCCAUCAUCUGCUUCUAUUAUAUUCUUGUUGGGGGAGUAAACUUUUGUAGUUUUUUUAUUGACUACUACUUCAUUACUUUUGUAUUGAUUAACAGAUAUGUUGGAGCGCA